rnacentral:rRNA from 1 species
GAUGAACGCUGGCGGCGUGCCUAAUACAUGCAAGUCGAGCGAACGGACGAGAAGCUUGCUUCUCUGAUGUUAGCGGCGGACGGGUGAGUAACACGUGGAUAACCUACCUAUAAGACUGGGAUAACUUCGGGAAACCGGAGCUAAUACCGGAUGAUAUUUUGAACCGCAUGGUUCAAAAGUGAAAGACGGUCUUGCUGUCACUUAUAGAUGGAUCCACGCUGCAUUAGCUAGUUGGUAAGGUAACGGCUUACCAAGGCAACGAUGCAUAGCCGACCUGAGAGGGUGAUCGGCCACACUGGAACUGAGACACGGUCCAGACUCCUACGGGAGGCAGCAGUAGGGAAUCUUCCGCAAUGGGCGAAAGCCUGACGGAGCAACGCCGCGUGAGUGAUGAAGGUCUUCGGAUCGUAAGACUCUGUUAUUAGGGAAGAACAUAUGUGUAAGUAACUGUGCACAUCUUGACGGUACCUAAUCAGAAAGCCACGGCUAACUACGUG